rnacentral:lncRNA from 1 species
AAGGACCAGAACGACUGGACUCCAACAUAGACAUGAGGUUCCUUAGCAAGCAUUUAAAAAGUACGGGGCUUGAUGUCAUCUACUCCAGGGACGCUGGGAGGUACCUGUGUGAUUUAUAUACUACUAUUGGCUGUACCAUGGGCAGGGAAAGGCUGCCUGGCAAGACCAGAGAAACUGGUACCACAACUCCAGACCAUCAUCCAGGCUCUGUUACGCCAGCUGGACUGCCCUGAAUACACAACCUCCGGAUACAUGGACAGCAGACAGGUGAGGAGAAAACUGAAAAACAGGAGGCCUUAG